rnacentral:rRNA from 1 species
AUUGAACGCUAGCGGGAUGCUUUACACAUGCAAGUCGAACGGCAGCGCGGACUUCGGUCUGGCGGCGAGUGGCGAACGGGUGAGUAAUGUAUCGGAACGUGCCCAGUAGCGGGGGAUAACUACGCGAAAGCGUAGCUAAUACCGCAUACGCCCUACGGGGGAAAGCAGGGGAUCGUAAGACCUUGCACUAUUGGGGCGUCCGAUAUCGGAUUAGCUAGUUGGUGAGGUAACGGCUCACCAAGGCGACGAUCCGUAGCUGGUUUGAGAGGACGACCAGCCACACUGGGACUGAGACACGGCCCAGACUCCUACGGGAGGCAGCAGUGGGGAAUUUUGGACAAAGGGGGCAACCCUGAUCCAGCCAUCCCGCGUGUGCGAUGAAGGCCUUCGGGUUGUAAAGCACUUUUGGCAGGAAAGAAACGUCGCGGGCUAAUACCCCGUGGAACUGACGGUACCUGCAGAAUAAGCACCGGCUAACUACGUG